GGAGAGGUGGCCGAGUGGUCGAAGGCGCUUGUUUGGAGAACAAGUGAACAGAAAUGUUCCCAGGGUUCGAAUCCCUGCCUCUCCGCCA
rnacentral:tRNA from 1 species